rnacentral:lncRNA from 1 species
UACGGGAAUGACUUGAAGAUGAUUUUACAUAGAGAUGCUUGAAGUUGCUCCAAAUCAGUACGAUACUUUCAUCUGACAUGUUGAUAUGUAUUUGUUGGCUUGAAGAUCAUUUUCCAUCCGCUGGACAACCUAGUUGUUAAUUAUUUUCCAAGGUACUUCUAUCUGAUGUAUUGAUAUGUAUUUGUUGGCUUGAAGAUCAUUUUCCAAGCUUGGAAGUUUUAUUGAAUGCUCUUUGAAAUCUUUUCCAUCCGCUUUUAUACUGGACAACCUAGUUGUUAAUUAUUAUCCAUGAUGUAAUUUAUAUUUUCAAGUUAUAAAUUUUGAUGAAUAUUGUUUCAGUUUUUUCCUCACUUCAAAAGAUGAAAAUCCUUGAUGUUAGUUAGAAAUAAAUUGGUUUUCUAGGAAGAGAUUAUUGAUUGGAAUAUAGUAUUUGAGUUGGUUCUACAUCAUUUACUGUUAUAAAUAAUUUAAAAUAAUUGAUGAAAAUUACCGAUACAUAGAAAAGUUGUGAGAGCAUCCUUAAUUAGUCUAGUAAGUAAAGUGUUGUUAGUUUUGACUAUAAGAUCUUGCUAUGUAUUAUUGCAUGGUUUUUACUAUUUUUAGGCAUUUUUCUUUUUGUAUAUACAACUUUUGUUUUUCUUGCCGCUUGUCAUUAGCUUUAUGGCACCAACACCAAUUAAUAAUAAAUCUUGAACUAUUAUUAAAUAAAGAAAAAAUAUAAACAUUGUUAAAAUACCAAACUUGAAUUGCUCAAUCCUAAAGAAACCCUAUGACAAUAAUCUAAUUUAGAAAAUAAUUAAUUUAUCCUUGUAGUCUAAGAAAAUAUAAACAUUGUUCUUUCUUAUUUUAUUUUUUUUAAUUGGAUUACCUUUAUCUUAACGAGUGAAAUAAAGAAACACUCCCCCCAUCUUUCUUGUUCCCUUUCCCUUCUUUACAUGGCUUACUCAGUGAAAAAGCAAUUAAACACCCCAUUUGAUUUUCAAUCAGUAUGAGAGUGAGAGAGAGAGAGGCCAAGGUGGUCCUUGAAUAUUUUCUUCUUUUUUGUCUCGCUCACUGGGGCAAACCAUUUUUUUCAACAUUUUGAAUAGCAUGCCAUCAAAAGGAAUUUUGUUCAAUCCCAAUCCCACAUUGUCUGUAGAAGUAUUUACUUUUGACUCCACACUUUGUUAUUUUCCAAUCCCUCCCCAGUUCUGCAACCAUUUCUCUACUUUCUAUGCUCUUGGCUUGCUAAAAACUAAAGAAAACACAUUGCUCUAGUUGCCUCCCUUCACUCUUCAGAUUGCUCAACAAAUCCCUUGAGACCUUCUCCAUAGUUAACACAUCACAUAAUGGGUACUCUAAAAAAUUUAGCCAUAAACAUUGAACACCUUGAGCAAUCAACGUGCCUUCCUUCACAAUAUCCAUCGCCCAUAAAUCUUUCUUUUGGGAUGUCGCGGGAGUUUAAUCUCCGAGUGUUAAAAUUAUGUAUAAAUUUCCAUUCUUUCCUUCCAUCCAUUACUUGUCCUCUAUGAAGAUUCUAUGUAUGAAAUCUCGGAAUCUUUUCGAGUAUAACUUGGGAUCAACAGCUGAGAUAGACGUGGGAUCCACUUGUAAGGACUUGUAUGCAUGCUCUAGCUUUUUGCUGAUAUCAUAAUCUUGGAGGAUGUCAAUGAUACCAAAGUGAAGAACUACAUCUCACAAUCACCAAAAUUCAAAGUAAAGUAACGGAGAAGAAAAUCUGAUAACAAUGAAUGAUCACUCAUUAACCACAGCGAAUCUUACGCUUUGAAAACACUUUUCACCAUCAAUUUUCCUUUUCUCAUUGAUUUUAAAUCUUCCAGGCAGAUAAAAUAGCAUUGGUUUCAUUCUGUUAAAAAUGGACCUAUUCAUCAGCUUAGGCAUCAACAACAUGUUGCAUCCACAAUCUUACUACUACAUUAUAAUUAUAAACAAAACUAAAAAAAUAUAUAUAUGAGGACAGAGUUAACAGACAUGCACUAAGAGUUAACAGACAAUUCUGUUAUAACAAACAAGUGAACAAUCUGUUUUCUCCAACCUUCCAGCAUUAUUCUCCCGAGCAUAUUCUGUCAGCUCAAGAUUAGGCAAUUCUGUUAACCAUGCUGUUAGCUCUGUUCUCUUUUGUUGUAUAUAUACUUGAUUGAUUGAUUGAUUCAAUAACAUUAUCUUUCUCUCUUCUCACCUGCCCCCUUUUUCUUCUCCUUUUACCUCUAGCUUCCAAUGCCUAUCAACACCACCAUCCUUAACACAAAUGAAUCUCACAGCAUGUUGAUUACCAUCAAUGUAGCAGCCCAAACUCCAUUAAAACUUACCUCCACCAGGCACCAACUAUCUAGCCUGGAAACUUCAAUUCCAGACUCUAUUCAUAGGACAUUUGAUUGAGGUCUCCACAAACAUUGAAACACCGCAAUUUUUCAUGAUAAAAUCCAAAGGAUUGGUACUUUGGUGUUUGAGGGGCUGGUAAAUGAAAGAACAGAUCAAGAGAUGACAUCCCUCUAUACCGCUGUUAUUCCUUUCAAGGUGCGUAUCAGGUGUUUGAAAAACUUCCUCAACUUAAAAUAAAAAGGUCUUGUUUACAACGUUUUUUAGUCCUUUACAAAUCUUCCAAUGUGUUGCGUUUACUGAAUAUGAUAGUGGGAACUUAUUUAUCAAGAAUUAACUACUCAGAAGAAAAUGUAAAGACGCAAUAAUGAUUUUUUUAUUUUAGAUUCCAUAGUCUACAAACUUGGAAGCAUACGGACCAGUCAGCUGGUAAAUGAAAGAACAGGGAUCAAGAGAUGAAAUCCCUCUAUACCGCUGUUUGAUACAAAAGUUCAUGGCCAAGUAAAAGAUGUUUAUUUUGGAUGUAAUAAAUAUUCAUAUUGCAACAUAAUAGUCAUCUCUCAAAUCCAUAAUUCAAUUGAUCAUAUAAAUAAUUGUUGAUUACUUAAAUAAACAAUUAUAUAAUUAAAUACUUAAUUAUAAAUUAAAGAGAUGGACAAUUAUAUAUUUCUAAAAUCUUAAUUACAAUUAUAUUAUAAUUUCUUCCCUAAAAUUUUUCAAAAUACAGUAUUAGAAUUACAUAAUAAAAUACAGUAUUAUAAUUUCUCAUCUAAAGGUCCAGCAUACCCUGGGAAUCUGAUCGGGUCAAGCUACGAGCAAUUAGGAGGCAUGACCAUCACCCACAUGUAACUUUGCUAAUAAUAUAUUACGGUUGUCAAAAUUAAUUAUUAUUAGCAAAAACUUAUUUUAUUUGUGAAUCUCUCAACCGUUGGAUUUAGAUAUGAGGAUAAGAGAUUGUGGGCACCUCUCUUUUUUAAAAUAACUAAAAUCUAAAUCAUCGGACGNNNNNNNNNNNNNNNNNNNNNNNNNNNNNNNNNNNNNNNNNNNNNNNNNNNNNNNNNNNNNNNNNNNNNNNNNNNNNNNNNNNNNNNNNNNNNNNNNNNNCCGGGAUUAUUUUAACUCAGUGAUCCUUCCCAGGUAGGCCCAGGUCACAUUGAUUAUGUUAAAAAAAAAAAAAAUCUAAUGUCUUUACCAUUAUAUUAUAAUUAUUUAGGAGGAUAGUUGAACAAUACUUUUUUAAAAAAAAUUAAUUUUUGACGAGUAAAAUAAUGUGGAACCAAUCGCAAUAAAUAAAGCCAAAAAAGGCAGACGAGUGUGUCUAAUUCAUGACUUGCAUUGACUAAAAAUUACCACUAGAAAUUCCUAGUUUUAUCCUAUAUAAAGAAUACAAAAAAGGCAGACGAGUGUGUUUCGUGGUGCUUUCUCGGCCUGCAAAUGAAUAGAAAGCAUAUCCUUUUAUCCUAUAUAAAGAAUAAUACAAUUAACAAAGCAUAUUUCAAUAUCCUUGCUUUACUCUCCAGCUAACCUGAUACAUAUUUCAAUGUCUCAAGACAUACGUAUGCCAUUGAUAGAAAGGUGUGUUCAAGCAAAAUCUUUUUUUAUCUGUAGCGACCUCAAUAAUGUUAACGCCACGAAAUUACCACUCCAAAUUCCUUGUUCUUCCUUUUUAUAUUAUUAGAAAAACUGUGAUUGACUGAUUUAAUUGGAAAUUAUUUGUGAGAAAGCUAAAAAGAAUUGGAGUUCUUCAAUUCCUAAAAUUCUAAUUUUAAAUUGUAAAAAAAAAUUAAUUAUUUUUAAAAUUAUUUUAGAAAAUAAAACAUUAACUAUUUAUAUAAUAGCUAAAUAAAUCUAUUAAAAUAAAUCGAAAAUAACCAGUAAAAUCAAGCAAAUAAUUCAAAUAUAACAAGUAAAUAAUUAUAUUUUUUUGGUCUGAUUUGAGUAUGUUUUCUUGACUUGCUUUAGUGUUCAUUAAACAUAAACAAACUUUGCUCUAAGAGUCUGCUUAUCAAUAAAAUAUUACUUUUACUGUACAUAAUAGAAAUAAUUUGGUUACCCGUCGACACUUACGUCACUUUACUCUUCAAUCGAUGUAAUUUCAUAGCUUUUCUCAGCAGGUGGGAUCCAACUAAUUUCAUAAAUCAUAAUUCUUCCUAAGGCGAUGCCAAAUAGGUGCCAAGAGUAUACCGCAUUAAGCGAAAACAUGCUGUCGCCAUAGUCUUACAGCUAANNNNNNNNNNNNNNNNNNNNNNNNNNNNNNNNNNNNNNNNNNNNNNNNNNNNNNNNNNNNNNNNNNNNNNNNNNNNNNNNNNNNNNNNNNNNNNNNNNNNCCAUUAAUAUUUGAUUGUUAUAAUUUAAUUUUUUUUUAAAAGCAAUUAAUCUUCAUUCUCUUUAUUUUUUUUCAAUCCAUUUAGUAAUUUGAUUUUUUUUUUUAAUUUUACCCUUCAAUUUAAAAUUUUAGUUUGUCCUCUCAAUUUUUUUUCAAAUGAUGUUCUUUUUUCUUAAUUGUUGUUUUUUUAUCCUUUAAUUUUUUUUAAUUUUAUUAUUCAACAUUUCAUUAAUUGAGAUUUGGUCUCAUUAAGCCCUACCCAAGAGUCAAUCUGGGAUAAUUAUUAAGUCACAAGUCGAGUAAGUUGACUCGAGUUAACCUAAGUUAACCAAAUCGUUUUAUUUUAUAAAAAGCCAAAAUGAUACCAUUUUUUUUAAAAAAAAUAAUAAACAAGUUUUGACCAUGUUUCGGCUAGGUUUUCUCAGGGUUAACUGAAAUAUUGGUCAACCCAGGUUUUGAUCGUAUUAUACUGGAGUAAUUCUCCGUCAAUUUUUUUUGAAACUCGAGCCAGUUUCAGCUAAAGGUCACUUAGAACACAGGUCAACCCAUAAGUUAAACCAAAUUUUUAAAUAAUAACUUUACAAAUAUAGUUCUUUCAAUUUAAUUACUAUCUCAGAUUAAGAUUUGAAAAAUUAACAUGGAUUUCUUUCGUUAUUCAUUUUAAAAAAGAACUCGUUAGUUUGCAAGUCCACGUGUCAAAUUUGGAAAAUCAUAUGGCCCAUUGAUAGAAAGGGGUGUUGAAGCAAAAUCUUUAUUAGCAAAGCCUGUUCGACCUCAAUAAUGUUAACGCGUGGACCCAGUUGUCGCAACCACCGCGAAAUUACCGCUCCAAAUUCCUUGUUCUUUCUCCGUAUAUUAUUUUUGAAAAACUGCCAUGUAUUUAAUUGUAAAGUAUUUGCAAAAAAGCUAAAAGAAUUAUAGUUUUUUAAUUUUUAAAAUUAUAAUUUUAAAUUGAAAAAAAAUAAUUAUUUUUAAAAUUGUUUUAAAAAUAUAACAUCAACUAUUUAUAUAAUAGCUAAAUAAAUAUAUUACAAUAAAUCAAGAAUAACAAGUAAAAUCAAGCAAAUAAUCCAUAAAUAACAAGAAAAUAAGUAUAUUUUCUAGAUCUGAUUUGAGUAUAUUUUUUAUCUUGAUUGACUGACUUGCUAAGUUUUUGCUAAGUAUAAACUAAUUUUACUCUAAGAAUUUAUUUGAUAUUUCUUCACUUAUUAAUGAAAUAUUAUUUCUACUGUAGAAAAUAGAAAUAAUUUGGUUGACCAUCGACACUUAUGUGAUUGAUUAUUGAUUAUUUUACUCUAAGAUGAAUAUUUUUUUGUUUGCAUCAAAUAAUUAAAAUUGAGAAUUUCAAAGCAGAGGGUUUAAGGAAUAUUAAAAGAGAAGGUUUUACGUAAUUAUUAUAUAAUUGAAAUUGUCACUAAUCUCCUUUGUUCAUUUUCUUUUUCUAUUACCCCUUCCAAUCAGCAUGCAAGAAACUUUCAACGUUUUACACUGCUUGUUCACUUAAUAAAACUAUUACUUGCUAUAAAGCAAGAAAUAAUAUUCUUUCUCUGAAAAGGGCUUGAGAAAACCCUAAGCAUGGUAGAUAAUCUCUUAUAGGAAUCUCUUUAUUAAAUAAUCAAAUAUCAAAGUCUAUUUCCAAAGACUAUUACUACAGUUUAUAUAUAUAUAUAUAUAUAUAUAUAUAUAUAUAUAUAUAUAUAGAAACAACUAAAUAGAGAAAUUAUUAUUUUUUAAAUAGAAAAGGUUGAAAAGCUUGAUAAUAUCGAGUAAGAAAUAAAAUAUAAAAAUAAUUCUUUUUUAAAUAAACAAAUAUAAAAGUUUAAUAGUACUGAAUAGAAAAAAAAAUAGAAUUUCUAAACUAAAUAAAAGUAACUGAAAAAAGUAUUUAUUAUUCCAAAAAAUUAGAGUUUUUUAAUUUAUAAAAUUAUAAUUUUAAAUUGUAAAAAUAAUUCAAUUAUUUUUAAAAUUAUUUUAAAUAAUAAAACAUCAACUAUUUAUAUAAUAGCUAAAUAAAUCUAUUAAAAUAAAUUGAGAAUAACUAGUAAAAUCAAGCAAAUAAUCCAAAAAUAACAAGCAAAUAACUUGUCAAGUCUUUAUUCAGCACAAACGAACUUUAUUCUAAAAGUAUAUUUGAUAUUUCUUCACUUAUCUAUGAAAUAUUACCUCUACUGUACAGAAUAGAAAUAAUUUGAUUGACCGUCGAUACUUAUGUUAUUGAUUAUUGAUUAUUUGGAAGAAGAAAUUGUAUUCAUUCUUCUUAUUUAUUUUUAUUAUUAACGUGGAUGUUCAGGCCAGCUUGCGCACACCUCGACUAAUCCCACGAGUCCUGAAGUUAACGAUCAUGUAAGCCUCCAGUGACCAUCAUAUUAGCAACUAUAGAGCUCGAACCUGAGAUUAUAGAGGGAACAAACCUCUUAAUCUCAAACUCUUAUCACUAGAUCACCUACUUUACUAUUCAGCUCGUUGUAAUUUCAUAGCUUCUCCCAGGUGGACGCAACUAAUUUCAUAAAUUAUAAGUCUUCGCUAAGCAUAAAUGAACUUUAUUCUGAGAGUCUGAUUGAUAUUUUUUCAUUUAUUAAUGAAAUAUUACUUCUAUUGUAUAGUUAUUGGGUACCGAGUCGAUCCACCUGGUCAAUAGAUGAACGGUACAUUCUUUGAAUUUAUUAGAAGAAAUAUGUAGUGUAAAUUAUAAAAAAAAUAUUUAUUUUUUGAUAUAUAAUAAUAAUAAUAAUAAUAAUAAUAAUAAAUUAGAUGAUAGUAACAAGAAAAUAGAAAUUAAUUUGAAUAAAUGGUAAGAGUUCCUAUUCUAAUAUAUCCAGGGAAGAAGUUCGAAGAAUAGAAUGAAGUUAAAUAUUCUUAAUAAAAGAAAGAAAUGAAAUAUAUUUUUAAUAAAUAUAAAAGAUGGAUAAAAUUAGAGAACAAGAAAGAGAUAUAUAAUCUUUUUGUAAGAACUUCUAAAAAUUUAAUUACAAUUCAGAAUUUCUUCCUUAAAAAUAUCCAAAAAAUCCUAUUAUAUAUGAAUCAAGACAACAGUAGAAUAACUUUUACAUAUUUUUCAAGUUUACUUAGAAUAGCAGUGGAAUAAUUCUUUUAAUAUUUAAAAAUUAAAAAAAAAACUGUGUAGUUGUUUUGUAUAAAUUCUAAAGUUGAGAACUCUUUUGUGCUUGGUAAAAUAUGAUUUUCAACUUUCGUAGGCGAGCACUAAAGUCCCAAGCUUCAAGAAUUUCUCUUCUUUUCCUUUUGUAUUUUCUCAUUUUCUUGGCAUGCGCGCAGCUGCUUCAUGGAAAAAACGUUUCAGAUGCGGAAAAUAAAGAUAAAUGUGGAAAAUAGAAGCGGAAAAAAAAUCCCAAAUAUCGACAAACAUCACAAGAGAAGCUUGAUAUCAACCACAUGUUGCAGUCCACAGUCUUUCCAUUACAUUAUAAUUACUUCUAAAAAAAAAUUUAAUUUUUUUUAAUUAUACGCCAUCAGCAACUACCUCAAAAUUACCACUCUAAAUUCCAGCUCAAUAUCGAUUAACAUGUGGCUAAAGAAUUUGAUUGCUGCUCAAUAUUUACCAAUACGCGCUUGAGAAAUUUCCUGCACGUGUUACAUUUUUAUCUUUUAUAAUUAUAAUUAUUGCAUUGCUAAUAAUUUGCAAGAAAGAAUAUUGUUUCUCUUAAAAGGGCUUGAGAAAACCCUAAGCAUUGUAGAUAAUCUCUUAUAGGAAUCUCUUUAUUAAAUCAUCAAAAUAUCAGAGUAUAUUUCCAAAUACUAUUACUAUAGUUUUUAUAUAUAUAUAUAAAAAUAGAAACAACUAAGUAGAGAAAUUAUUAUUUUUUAAAUAAAAAAACUAGAAAAGCCUAUAAUAUUAUUGAAUAAAAAAUAAAAUAGAAAUUUAAUCAAUUAAAAGUUUAAAAAAAAAUACUGUUUAACUGUUUUGUAUAAAUUCUAAAGUUAAAGAGUCUUUUGUGCUUGGUAAAAUACGUCACACUAAAAUUAAUAAAUAAUAACACAAGAAAGGACCAAAGUUAAUAAAUAAUAGCAUGCACGAAACUUCACGAUACCCAUGUUUUCCACGUUUUACACUGUUUUAAUAGAUUGUUACAGCAAGAGCACAGAGAGAGGAACGGUUCAAGACAAAACAACGAAGGAGGGGCAGAUGCUCAAGUUGUUGCAACCACCAUGAAAGGAACACAUUAAUGUUAACGCGUGGACCCAGUUGCUGCACCAGCACGAAAGUACUACUCCAAAUUCCAGCUCAAAUUGAAUAAUGAUUUAUUUUCUAGCAUAAAUUAUGUUUGAAAUAAAAUUGAUAAAAGACAUAAUUACACAAUUAUUGAUGGGAUCGUAUAUAAAAAUAAUUAAAUUGUGAUUUUUUAAUUAUUUUUAAACAUAUCAUGGUUUGAGGUACAUCAUGUAAAUUAUAAAAAAAAUAUUUAUUUUUCUGAUAUAUAUAUAGUAAUAACAAAUGGUUAGAAUGCUUUAGUCCUUUUCGAGUGGAAAGUGGUGUGAAAGUGGGAACUACUGUGAGAGCUUUAUGCCACUUUCUAAAUCGCGAGUAAAGUCUGAAUGUUUUUAGAAAGAAGCAGCCUUCAUUGCUUUUCAAAACCAAUCUCUGUAUCUAUUAACAAAAACUCUAAAUCGCGAGUAAAGUCUAAAUGUUUUUUAAAAAGAAGCAGUCUUCAUUGCUUUAAUAAAUUGUUACAAUAAAGCACUGAGAGAAGAAUGGUUAUACCGUUGAGCCGGGUCGAGUUUUAAAAUUAUAAUUUAUAUAUAAAAACAACUAAAUAGAAAAAUUAUUAUUUUUUAAAUGAAAAAACCAGAAGAGCUUAAUAAUAUUUAAUAAAAAAAUAAAAAUGAAAAAAUAUUCCUUUUUAAGUACAAACUAAUUUAAUAAUACUGUAUAAAAAAAUUAAAAUUUCUAACCUAAAUUAAAAAAAAUAAAAAUAACUGAGAAAAUAUUUAUAAAGAUAACGGUAUGUAAAUCUAGGAACUAAAAAUAAUACAACUACAUUGAUUGGAGAUUUCACUCAGAAUUUCUAGUAAAUUAUAAAGGAAAUUUCCUAGUGCUUUUCAUGUACAUGAAUUUAAAAAUUAUCGUCGCGGAACUUACUUGCAUUGACUGACUUGCUAAAUAUUUGUGCUCGAAAUUUCCAAGCAAUUUAUGGAGGAAAUUUCCUUGUGCUCUCUCUUGUACAUUAUUAGAAAAGCUGUCAUUGAUUGAUUGACUUGCAAAAGUAUUUGCAAGAAAGCUAACGAAUUAGAGUUUUUUAAAAUUUUAAAUUAUUAAAAAAAUCCAUUUUUUUUUUAAAUCAAGAAUAAAACAUCAAGUAUUAUAUAAUUGCUAAAUAAAUCUAAUAAAAUAAAUCGGAAAUAACUAGUAAAUAAUCCAAAAAUAACUAGAAAAUAACCUUUUCCACCUCAAUAAUGUUAACGCGUGGACCCAGUUGUUGUGGAAACUAUGCAGAGGAAGAAAAAUGAUAGAAAAAUUUGCAAGAGAGAAUUCUUUCUCUGAAUAGAAAAAAACUAUUAUUUUUUAAAUAAAAACAACUAUAUAGAAAAAUUAUUACUUUUUAGGUAGAAAAACCUCAUGAUAUUGAAUAAAAAAAUAAAAUAGAAAAAUUAUUCUUUUCAAGUAGAAAAAAAUAUAAAAGUUUAAUAAUAUUGAAUAGAAAUCAAUAAAAUUUCAAAACUAAAUAAAAAUAAUAGAGAAAAAUAUUUAUUAUCCUAAAAAUUCUUAUAUUAAAAUAUUUAAAAGAACUGAGUUUACAUGCUUUAAACAGAAAAACAACAAAAAAAAAAAACAAAUGUAACAAGAAAAAUUCCACACAACGUAAUAUGAUAUAAAUUGAGGUUUUUAAAUUACCUAUAAACAUAUCAUAAUAUAUAUGGUACAUCCUUUGAAUUUAUUAGAAAGAAGCCAUUAACUAGCCUUUUCAAUUGGAUCUUUUAUUUAAAUGAAAAGGAAUAUUUAUUUUAAUAUGAAAAAAAUAUUUAUUUUUUUGAUAUUUCUGGUAAUAAUAAAUUAGAGGAUAGUAACAAGAAAAUAGGAAUUAGAUCGAAUAAAUGGUACCAAUUUGUAUUCUGAUAUAUCUAGCCAAAGAAUAGAAUGAAUUAAAACAUUCUUAAUAAAAAAAACAGAAAACACAGAAAUAAAUAAAAAGAUAUUCUUAAUAAAUAUAAAAAAUAGGUAAAAUCAGAGAACAAGAAAGAGAUAUAGAAUCUCUUUCUAAGAUUUCUAAAAACUUAAUUACAAUUACAUUAUAAUUUCUUCCUUAAAAUUAUUCAAAAUAUAGUAUUAGAAUUGCAUAAUGCUAGGUUUUAGUAUAUAGUUGUUUAUAUUGUUAAAGAGUCUCUCCUAAAACAAAUAAUAAAAAUAUUGUACAACUCUUUUGAAUGAAUUGUUAAUGCACGGACUGUUUUGGGUCCUGACUUGGUUGAUUUAACUUGAAUGUAUUAUUUGAUUGGUCCAAAUAAAAGUCGACUCGAAAUUUCUAUUAAUUUACAAAAGAAAUUUCCUAGUACUUUAUGCUGUAUAUAAUUUGAAAAAUUAUGACUGACCGACUUACUUGCAAAGUAUUGGCAAGAAAGUUAAAGAAUUAGAGUUUUUAAAUAUUUAAAAUUAUAAUUUUAAAUUCUAAGAAAAAAAUCAAUUAUUUUUAAAAUUGUUUUAAAAAAUAAAAGCAUCAACUAGCUAAAUGAAUCUAUUAAAAUAAAUAAAAAAAUAAUUAGUAAAAUCAAGUGAAUAAUCCAAAAAUAACAAGAAAAUAGAGAUAUUUCCUAAAUAUGAUUCCAGUUUGUAUUUGCUAACAUAAAUAGCAUACACGAACUUUAUUAUAAUAGUAUAUUUGAUAUUUAAAAAAAAAACUUAUAUAUAUUAUAUGGGUUGGAAACCCAUUUUUUAUUAAAUUUUAAAUUUUAUAUGUUUAAAAAUAUUUUUUUAUAUUUUUUAAUUAUUUUAAUAUGAUAAUAUCAAAAAUAAAUAAAUAAAAUUUUUCUAACUCUUACUACUUCUGACUUGCUAUGACUCGAAAUUCGUGGUGCUCUCUCCUGCAAAUGAAUACAAAGCAUAUCCUUUCUCUUUCUCCUAUAUGAAGAAUACAAUUAGAAAUUUCCUUGGUUUACUCUUCAGAUUACUUUUCCAUGCACGAAACUUUAUGCCAAUUAGCAACCACUGUGAAAUUACAACUCAAAAUCCCAUGAAUAUAUAAAAAAAAAUUAGAAUUUGACUAGAAAAAUUCUAUCAAAUUCUCUACUUUGUUAGUGUUCAUUUUCCUUCUUUUUUUACCAUAUCUUCAGUUGGGACAAAAUUAUCUUCCCCAAACGAUAGACCUUUAUUUUCCUUCUUUUUUAGUUUAUUAGUAAUUACAUUAAAGAAAAAUAUUAAUUAGUAAUUUUACAUUUUUUUUCUAUAUUAUAAUUAUCAAAUAACCCUUAAAAAAUUUUAUUUUAACCUUUUUUUUCUCUCUUUUUUUUUCAAUUUAUUUGUUAAUUUAAUUUUUUUUUUAAUUUUACCUUCCGGUUCAAAAUUUUAGUUUAUUCUCUCAAUUUAUUUUUCAAAUGAUGUUCUUAUUCUCUUAAUUGCUAUUUUUUAUCCUUCAAUCUUUUUAUUUUAUCAUUCAACAAUUCAUUAAUUGGGAUCUGGUCUCAUUGGUUUUUCCUAUUGUUUCUAAACUCUACCCAAUAGUCAAUCCAGUAUAAUUAUCAAGUUACGAGUUGAGUGGAUUGACUCGAGUUAAUCUAAGGCAACCAAAUCUUUUUGUUUUAUAAAAAGCCAAAAUGAUGCCAAUUUUUUAUUUUUAAAAAAUAAAAAACGAGUUUUGAUCUUGUUUCGGCUAGAUUUUCUCAUGAUUAACUAAAACAUUGAUCAACCUAGAUUUUUUAUUGUAUUACAUUAGAUCAAUUCUACCUCAAUUGUUUUUGAAACUCGGGCCGUUUUAAACUAAAGAUCACCUGGGACACAGUUUCUUGGCGCUUUGUACUGUAUAUAAUUUGAAAAACUGUGAUUGACCGACUUACUUGCAAAGUAUUUGCAAGAAAGCUAAAGAAUUAGACUUUUUCAAUAUUUUAAAUUGUAAGAAAAAAUCAAUUGUUUUUUUUAAAUUAAAAAAUAAAACAUCAACUAUUUAUAUAAUAGCUAAAUGAAUCUAUUAAAAUAAAUAAAAAAUAACUAGUAAAAUUAAGUAAAUAAUCCAAAAAUAACAAAAAUAAAUAAAAAUGUAUUUUUUAAAAACUUUUAUCUUAUAUGGGUUGGGGUUGCUAUGCAACUUAACCGGGAUCACCAUGAUUGUCGAGUAGAGUAAAUAAAUUACUUAACCGGGAUCACCAGAGGAGUUAUUUGCCAAGAUUAAGUUAUAUAACAGUUUAUAAAUCAUGCUAUCAUCUUCAUCACCAUAUAUAAAGUUUUAUAAUAAAAAAAUAUUUAAAAAAACAAUUUUCAUUACAUUUUCAAAUUAGUUAAAGUUUUUCAAAUGAAUGGAUUGAUGUCGAUGACACUCUCUAGUCAGUUUUGAGAAUUUUAAAUCCAAACAAGUGAAUUUAUAUUGUAUAUGGAUCAAGCAAGCAUGCUUGUACAAUAAUUUCUUAUACUCAAUAGAAAUUUGGGUUUAUCAUUACAAACCGUAUUUUAAAAUACUAUUGCCAAAAGAUCAUAUUAUUUAUUAAAACAAGAAAGGACCAAAGUUAAUAAAUAGUAGCAUGCUCGAAACUUCGUGAUACCAAAGUUAAUAAAUAAUAAAGUUAAUAAAUAGUAGCAUGCUUUAAAAGAGUGUUACAGUAAAAGCACAGAAAGAAGAACGGUUCAAGACAGAACUAUAAUGUUAACGCGUGGGACCCAUUUGUUGCAACCAGCACGAAACUCCAGCUCAAUAUUUACCAGCACUACACGCUUGAGUAAUUUCCUUGCGUUUUUUUUCCUCUACCGCUCUACGUGUUACCUUUUACCUCUUUUAUAAUUAUGAUUUAUUAACGAGAAUAAAACAAUUCUGUGUAAAUUAUACAAAUUUCCAUUGUUGCUUUUUUUCUUGCACGUGUUAGAUUUUUAUUUUUUAUAAUUAUAAUUAUUGCAUUGCUAAUAAUUUGCAAGAAAGAAUAUUCUUUCUCUGCUUAAGAAAACCCUAAGCAUUGUAGAUAAUCUCUUAUAGGAAUCUCUUUAUUAAAUCAUCAAAAUAUCAGAGUCUAUUUCCAAAUACUAUUACGACAGUCUAUAUAAAGAAUACAAUUAACCUCAUUUCAAUAUCAUAGCUUUGGAAUUUCAUAGCUAACUCUUUGUUAUAUUGCUCCAUUGGUAAUUGAUUGUGCCUUGAUUUCUGCAGCUGCCAUGACAGAGCCAGAGUCUUCUCGAUCUAGACCAGAAGGCGCCUAUGAUGUCUUCUUGAGUUUUAGAGGAGAAGACACUCGCCAGACAUUUACAGAUCAUCUAUAUACUGCCUUGGUCCAGGCAGGAAUCCACACUUUUCGAGAUGAUGAUGAACUUCCGAGAGGAGAAGAAAUCUCCGAUCAUCUCCUCAGGGCAAUUCACGAAUCAAAGAUAUCCUUAGUUGUCUUCUCAAAAGGAUAUGCUUCUUCUAGAUGGUGUCUCAAUGAACUUGUAGAGAUUCUUCAGUGCAAAAAUAGGAAAACCAAUCAGAUUGUUCUUCCUAUAUUCUAUGACAUUGAUCCUUCAGAUGUGAGAAAACAGAAUGGCAGUUUUGCAGAAGCAUUUGUUAAACAUGAAGAGCGUUUUGAAGAGAAGUUGGUGAAGGAGUGGAGAAAAGCUCUUGAGGAGGCUGGAAAUCUAUCUGGAUGGAAUCUCAAUGAUAUGGCAAAUGGGUAUGUCUUUUUUCCAAAUUUAUGGAGUCAAUAUACUUUACAUUUUUCAAUGUGAAACAAUAAAAUGCUUAAUUGACUCGCUAUCAAUGACCUGCUUUUGUCUAUGAGCAGGCAUGAAGCAAAAUUUACCAAAGAGAUUAUCAAGGAUGUGUUGAAGAAAUUAGAACCCAAGUACUUAUAUGUUCCUGAGCACCUAGUAGGUAUGGAUCGGCUUGCUCGCAGUAUUUUUGACUUUCUAAGUACUGCAACAGAUGAUGUACGCAUUGUGGGCAUACAUGGGAUGCCAGGAAUAGGAAAGACAACUAUAGCAAAAGUUGUAUUUAAUCAACUCUGCUAUAGAUUCGAGGGAAGCUGCUUUCUUUCGAAUAUCAAUGAAACAUCAAAACAAUUCAAUGGUCUGGCUCUUUUACAAAAGCAACUUCUUCAUGAUAUUUUAAAACAAGAUGUUGCUAACAUCAAUUGUGUCGAUAGAGGAAAGGUUCUGAUCAAAGAGCGACUUUGUCGCAAAAGAGUUCUUGUUGUUGCUGAUGAUGUUGCUCGUCAGGACCAGCUAAAUGCUUUGAUGGGAGAGCGAAGUUGGUUUGGUCCCGGAAGUAGAGUGAUUAUUACAACAAGAGAUUCUAGUGUUCUACUUAAAGCAGAUCAAACAUAUCAGAUCGAAGAAUUGAAACCAUAUGAGUCCCUUCAGCUUUUCCGAUGGCAUGCCUUGAGGGACACAAAGCCAACAGAAGAUUAUAUUGAGCUUUCGAAGGAUGCAGUUGAUUACUGUGGAGGACUUCCUUUAGCUCUUGAGGUUAUGGGUGCUUGUCUGUCCGGGAAAAACAGAGAUGGUUGGAAAUGUGUAAUUGAAAAAUUGAGAAGAAUUCCACACCACGAUAUUCAAGGAAAGCUUAGAAUAAGUUUUGACGCACUGGACGGUGAAGAACUACAAAAUGCAUUCCUUGACAUCGCUUGCUUCUUUAUUGAUAGAAAGAAAGAGUACGUCGCAAAAGUGCUAGGAGCCCGUUGCGGUUACAAUCCAGAAGUUGAUUUGCAAACUCUCCAUGAAAGGUCUCUAAUUAAAGUUAAUGCCAUUGGGGAGAUAACCAUGCAUGAUCUAUUACGAGACAUGGGAAGGGAGGUCGUUCGUGAAUCGUCUCCAAAAGAACCUGGAAAGAGGACCAGAAUUUGGAAUCAAGAGGAUGCAUGGAAUGUACUUGAGCAGCAGAAGGUAAGAGCUCAAUGCAUACACGAAAGCAUGGUCAAUGUUGUAUUUUCUAGUCAAACUUAUUACAUAUAAUUGUAUGAAAGUUGUAUUGUUUUUUUUUUAGGGUACCGAUGUUGUAGAGGGUGUUGCACUGGAUGUCAGAGCAUCAGAAGCUAAAUCACUGAGCACAGGAUCAUUUGCAAAAAUGAAAUGCUUAAAUUUACUCCAAAUCAACGGAGCACAUCUCACCGGAUCCUUCAAACUGCUUUCUAAAGAGUUGAUGUGGAUUUGUUGGCUUCAAUGUCCUUUGAAAUAUUUUCCAUCUGAUUUUACCUUGGACAAUCUAGCUGUUCUUGAUAUGCAGUACAGUAACCUUAAAGAACUAUGGAAGGGAAAAAAGGUGAGAAACAUGCUGCAAUCCCCAAAAUUUCUCCAGUAUGUAAUUUAUAUUUACAUGUUACGACUUCUUAAGAUUAAUUUUCAUUAUUUUGCGCUCUAUUAUACAGAUUCUCAACAGGCUAAAAAUCCUUAAUUUCAGUCAUUCUCAGAACCUUGUUAAAACACCAAACUUGCACAGUUCAAGUCUAGAGAAACUAAUUCUGGAAGGUUGCUCGAGUUUAGUUGAGGUGCAUCAAUCAAUUGGACAUUCGACGAGCCUCGUUUUCUUGAAUCUGGAGGGAUGUUGGAGUCUGAAGACUCUCCCUGAAAGCAUUGGCAAUGUAAAGUCUCUUGAAACUCUGAAUAUUUCUGGGUGUUCACAACUUGAGAAAUUGCCAGAACGCAUGGGUGAUAUGGAAUCCUUAACUGAGCUGCUAGCCGAUGGGAUUGAAAAUGAGCAAUUUCUCUCUUCAAUUGGACAAUUAAAGCAUGUCAGAAGGUUAUCAUUGUGUCGAAACCGUUCGGCUCCACCAAGUUCUUCUUUGAUUUCAGCAGGUGUUUUGAAUUGGAAACGGUGGCCGCCAACAUCUUUCAUUGAAUGGAUAUCAGUGAAACGUCUUGAGCUUUCUAAUGGUGGUUUGUCUGAUCGCGCAACUAACUGUGUUGAUUUUAGGGGUUUGUCCGCUCUAGAGCAUUUGGAUCUAGAUGGAAACAAAUUCUCUAGCCUUCCUUCUGGGCUCGGCUUCCUUCCCAAGCUAAGGUGGUUGUCUGUUCAGGCAUGCAAAUAUCUUGUAUCAAUCCCAGAUCUUCCCUCAAGUUUAGACUUUUUGUUUGCAGCUCAUUGCAAAUCAUUGAAAAGAGUAAGAAUACCAAGCGAGCCAAAAAAAGAACUAUAUAUAGGACUAGAGAACAGUCAUUCGUUAGAAGAGAUUCAGGGCAUCGAAGGUCUAAGUAAUAGUUUCUGGUAUAUUCGUGUUGAUAAGCACAAUAAUUCACCAAAUAAAUUACCGAAAAACGUUAUUGAGGUACUAUUUCUUUCAGUCUCUCUUGCACAAAAAGUAAACACACAAUUAGCACAUGCAUCGAUAUUUAUUAUAUGUCAUCGAUAUUGAAUAAUGAUUUAUUUUCUAGCAUAAAUUAUGUUUGAAAUAAAAUUGAUAAAAAACAUGAAUACACAAUUAUUGAUGGGAUGGUAUAUAAAAAUAAUUAAAUUGAAAUUUUUUAAUUAUUUUUAAACAUAUCAUGGUUUUAGGUACAUCAUUAAAUUAUAAAAAAAAUUAUGUAUUUUUCUGAUAUAUAUAUAUAUAUAUAUAUAUAUAUAUAUAUAUAUGGCAAUAACAAAUUAAAUGAUUAUAACAAGAAAAUAGAAAUUAGUUUGAAUAAAUGUUACCAGUUCUAUUAAUUUGAACGGUACAUCAUUCACCGAAUAAAUUACAGAAGAGCGUUGUUGAGGUACUAUUUCUUUCCGUCUAUCUUUCACACAAAAAGAAACACACACAAUUGGCACAUACAUUGAUUAAUGUCUAAAAUCUCAGCAUUCCUUGAAAUCAAUAUGUAUAUAGGCAAUAAUUAUUAUUAUUAUUAUUAUAUUUAAAAAAACAAAUAUCAUCUUUAAUAAUAUUUUUUAUUUUUCUUAUUUGAUCUAAAAAAUUAAAUAUUAUCUUUAAUAAUAUUUUUUUAUUAAAUAUUUAAAGUCUGAUUGGUUUUAUUUUUUAUUUCUUGAUUUUAUGAUAAUAUAUUUAUACAGUUAAUGUGCAACGGUCGUCACGGGUAUUCUUUCUUUUGGGAUGUCGCCGGGAGUUUAAUUUCCGAGUGUAAAAAUUAUGUAUAAAUUUCUAUUCUUUCCUUUCAUCCAUUACUUGUCCUCUAUGAAGAUUCUAUGUAUGAAAUCUCGGAAUCUUUUCGAGUAUAACUUGGGAUCAACAGCUGAGAUAGACGUGGGAUCCACUUGUAAGGACUUUUAUGCAUGCUCUAGCUUUUUGCUGAUAUCAUAAUCCUGGAGGAUGUCAAUGAUACCAAAGUGAAGAACUACAUCGAAGAUCUCAUUACCAUUAUGUGAAGGUGUUGAAUUGUUACUUCCACCCCCCAUGCACUGAUCCAUUUCAGUAGUCCUCAUUACACUCUCGGCUCUUGCAGGCACAUUUGCCCCCAGCCGGAUGAAUGGCCCCCUGGAACAGAUUUCACAUGAGUACUACAGAUAAAAUCUAGACAUUGCAUCACAUAAUCACCAAAAUUCAAAGUAACAAAACGAAGAACAAAAUGUGAUAACAAUGACAAUGAUCACUCAACCACAGCCGAAUCUUACGCUUUGAAGACACUUUUCAUCAUUAAUUUUCCUUUUCACAUUGAUUUUCAAUGUUCCGGGCAGAUAAAAUAGCAUUGAUUUACAACCAUGGUUUUAAGGCAUCAUUAUUGGCAAAAACAUUGUAGGAUCAUGCACAUUUAACUAGUUGUUAAUUGAUUUUCAACCAGAUAAAAUAGCAUUGAUUUUCAAUGUUCCUUUAUCCUUGUAGUCUAAGAAAAUAUUAUUUAAUUCUUUUGUUUUCAUAUUCAUCUAUGAUUUAAUGUGUUGAUUGAAAUUGACAAUUGAGUUGUUAGUAAUAGCAAAAGGCAUGUACAAUCAUGCACAUUUAACUUUCUUUUUAAAUUUAAAAGUUCUAUUGAAUUUGAUGGUUUUUUAGGAUACAAAAGACUUGAAUUGACGUGAGAGUACAAGAUCAUUUUACGUGGAGAUGCUUGGAGUUGCUCCAAAUCAGUACAGUACUUCUACCUGACAUGUUGAUAUGUAUUUGUUGGCUUGAAGAUCAUUUUCCAAGUUUGGAAGUUUUAUUGAAUUCUCUUUCAAAUCUUUUCCAUCCGCUUUUAUGUUGGACAACCUAGUUGUUAAUUAU